UACGGAGGGUGCAAGCGUUAAUCGGAAUUACUGGGCGUAAAGCGCGCGUAGGCGGUUUUUUAAGUCGGAUGUGAAAGCCCCGGGCUCAACCUGGGAACUGCAUCCGAUACUGGAAGACUAGAAUGCGGGAGAGGGAGGUAGAAUUCCAUGUGUAGCAGUGAAAUGCGUAGAUAUAUGGAGGAAUACCAGUGGCGAAGGCGGCCUCCUGGCUCGACAUUGACGCUAAGGUGCGAAAGCGUGGGGAGCAAACGGG
rnacentral:rRNA from 1 species